rfam:Musa acuminata subsp. malaccensis Doubled-haploid Pahang (DH-Pahang) genomic chromosome, chr3
GUGCCAUUGGGAUGAACUGGUGGUCCCGGACAUGAAACAACCAUCAUCUUCACUUUGUCAGCUAAUUAAUUUUUUUUCAUUUAUCUGAUCAUUAAUGAUGGAACAUUU